ensembl:lncRNA
AGUGAUCCCAUUUCAUAAUCCGUCAUACGAGUUUGCAAUCAUGAAUCUGUACCUUGUUCAACAUUUCAGCGCUGGAGGUCAGGGGUCAGGGGUCUCGUCCUUCUCCUUGAGCACAGGCGUGUAAACGAUUUAGGCAUCGGACAUGGUCUGAAAAGCGUCCGCGGUGGGCCGCUGGUUUCAUGUCACAGGCAUCGUAUCAAGUUCAAACUUUGUGGUUGUCAACGAGCAUUGAGACACCGAAACAUAGGGGAGCUCAGAGAAGAAAGGCCCGACUUGACUUCAAACGCGUCCCUGUUGUCUCCACCCCAUCUCAACUGCAAAGGAGGCGCAGCCCUGGAAAUCAACCCCCUAAGCCUCCUCACUAUUGUCUGUACUGCGACUAUGGAUUUGCCUCUUCCUCCCCUCCUCCAUCCUCCACUGUUCCUGUUUGCUCCUCUUUUUAUCUUGGGUAGAGCAUUUGAAUGUGCUAAUGCCUGUAGCUUUGGAGUGUGCAAUAGAUGUAGUUUAUAUCACUGUUAAUUAUUACUCAAACAAAAUUUCGGGCUCCAAUUUGUUCAGAUCACUGCAUGAAGAUAUGAAUUAAUAUUGCAGGGAUGUGAAUGAAUAAAACAGGCUUUUGUGAAUGCGGAGGGCGAAAAAAUGCAAACUAUGUAAAAUUACCUCAAUUAUAGAACAUUUAAAAAGCACCCGAGAGCAUGAUUAAAAAAAAUUCUUUUGUUCACUGUUGUCUACAGUUUAUGUGCUGGAGUUGCAUCAGUUUCCGGGGUUUUGCAUACAGUAUUUUUGCGUGUUUCAGGGUUUCUGCUUGAGAAAGAAAGAGAUGCAAUGAUGCAACCAGAGGAAAAAGAGGGUCAAGAAAGGUUCUGCCCCGCCAUCUCCGACUGCAGAUGCUG